rnacentral:rRNA from 1 species
GAUGAACGCUGGCGGCGUGCCUAAUACAUGCAAGUCGAGCGAACGGACGAGAAGCUUGCUUCUCUGAUGUUAGCGGCGGACGGGUGAGUAACACGUGGAUAACCUACCUAUAAGACUGGGAUAACUUCGGGAAACCGGAGCUAAUACCGGAUAAUAUUUUGAACCGCAUGGUUCAAAAGUGAAAGACGGUCUUGCUGUCACUUAUAGAUGGAUCCGCGCUGCAUUAGCUAGUUGGUAAGGUAACGGCUUACCAAGGCAACGAUGCAUAGCCGACCUGAGAGGGUGAUCGGCCACACUGGAACUGAGACACGGUCCAGACUCCUACGGGAGGCAGCAGUAGGGAAUCUUCCGCAAUGGGCGAAAGCCUGACGGAGCAACGCCGCGUGAGUGAUGAAGGUCUUCGGAUCGUAAAACUCUGUUAUUAGGGAAGAACAUAUGUGUAAGUAACUGUGCACAUCUUGACGGUACCUAAUCAGAAAGCCACGGCUAACUACGUGCCAGCAGCCGCGGUAAUACGUAGGUGGCAAGCGUUAUCCCGAAUUAUUGGGCGUAAAGCGCGCGUAGCGGUUUUUUAGUCUGAUGUGAAAGCCCACGGCUCAACCGUGGAGGGUCAUUGGAAACUGGAAAACUUGAGUGCAGAAGAGGAAAGUGGAAUUCCAUGUGUAGCGGUGAAAUGCGCAGAGAUAUGGAGGAACACCAGUGGCGAAGGCGACUUUCUGGUCUGUAACUGACGCUGAUGUGCGAAAGCGUGGGGAUCAAACAGGAUUAGAUACCCUGGUAGUCCACGCCGUAAACGAUGAGUGCUAAGUGUUAGGGGGUUUCCGCCCCUUAGUGCUGCAGCUAACGCAUUAAGCACUCCGCCUGGGGAGUACGACCGCAAGGUUGAAACUCAAAGGAAUUGACGGGGACCCGCACAAGCGGUGGAGCAUGUGGUUUAAUUCGAAGCAACGCGAAGAACCUUACCAAAUCUUGACAUCCUUUGACAACUCUAGAGAUAGAGCCUUCCCCUUCGGGGGACAAAGUGACAGGUGGUGCAUGGUUGUCGUCAGCUCGUGUCGUGAGAUGUUGGGUUAAGUCCCGCAACGAGCGCAACCCUUAAGCUUAGUUGCCAUCAUUAAGUUGGGCACUCUAAGUUGACUGCCGGUGACAAACCGGAGGAAGGUGGGGAUGACGUCAAAUCAUCAUGCCCCUUAUGAUUUGGGCUACACACGUGCUGCAAUGGACAAUACAAAGGGCAGCGAAACCGCGAGGUCAAGCAAAUCCUAUAAAGUUGUUCUCAGUUCGGAUUGUAGUCUGCAACUCGACUACAUGAAGCUGGAAUCGCUAGUAAUCGUAGAUCAGCAUGCUACGGUGAAUACGUUCCCGGGUCU